CAAUAGCGUAUAUUAAAGUUGUUGCAGUUAAAAAGCUCGUAGUUGGAUUUCUGGUGAGAUGGAUUAUGUCUAGGUCGAAAGAUCUUGUUCAUGGUUCGUUUUGCCCUUCUUGUCGGGAACCCGCUGAGAUUCGCGUCUUGUCGGUGGAAUGGCAUCGUUUACUGUGAAAAAAUUAGAGUGUUCAAAGCAGGCAUCGCCGUUGAAUACAUUAGCAUGGAAUAAUAAGAUAAGACUUUGGUGGUCUAUUUUGUUGGUUUGCACGCCAAAGUAAUGAUUAAUAGGGAUAGUUGGGGGUAUUCGUAUUCUAUUGCUAGAGGUGAAAUUCUUAAAUUUAUGGAAGACGAACUACUGCGAAAGCAUUUACCAAGGAUGUUUUCAUUAA
rnacentral:rRNA from 1 species